UGGGUGGAGGACACACUGGCACUGCUAUUUGCAUCCCCAGCACUGCNNNNNNNNNNNNNNNNNNNNNCUGCCGAUUCCUGCAAGCAACUGAGAAGGAGCCGUGUUAGCACCUCUCCCAUCUCUCUGGAGGGCUGUGUGAUGCCGUGAUUUUGAUUUGCUCAGCGGGGGCCUCGCUCAUCAGUUGGCAGCCAGCUAUGAAACCCUCAAACACGCGGCGGCUGGAGGCACGGAUCAUGCCGGUGGGGUGUUUCUCAGCUCGGAUGCCCACAGUGAGGCGCUGAGUGGCUCCCUCGGGGUGGGAGGAGGAAGGUGGAAGCAGGACAGAGCAGUCCUCGCCGCAGAGGGCUCGUGGCAGUCCUGCCUUUGAGAAGGGUGAUGGACAAGGUGGUUUUUUUUUUCAGAACAAAAUGUUUCCAGAUGCGUUUCCAGAUCAAAUCCCAGUGGGUUUGAUAUCGCGACAUUAAAUAUAGGUGUUGAGAUUCUCCCCUCGCAUGCCAAGCAGCAGAGACACGCAGACAUCUCAUCACAUCCCAGCUCGCUCGCUGCCCUCAGGGGAUGAAAUCUGCUCCCCUGCCCCGUCUGGUCCCAGGGAAGAAGGCUGGGCUGGGGCGUGCAGAGCACAGGACACGGGGUCCUCCAGCCAAUUGCUGGCAUGGAGUGCAGAGGAUCUGUUUCAGAUCGCAUCCGGUCCUCCGGUUGAGUGCGGGAGCCUCGCCACGGUGCGCGCUGUGCGCGCUAGAGGGAGCCACGGAAAAACCAACGCUGCGAGUGCCGCCCUGCUCCCCAGCCGCUCCCACGCUCCUCCCUCGGAAACCCGGGGGUCUUUCAGCAGCAAAGCCCCGCUGGGGCUGCUGCAGGAGCAGUUCUGUUGGAAGCGAAGCGCGCCGUUUGACUACGCUGAUGUUUGUCCGAGUUUUGGCUUCUGUUUCCCCAGCAUCAAGACGUUGCGUUUUGAGCGCCUCCAAGCUCCCCGCUCCUUUUUGGUGUUACCUGUGCUCCUGCUGCGCACCCGCAUGCCGUGCGCACGCGGGAAAUGCUUUGGUGCACCAUAG
rnacentral:lncRNA from 1 species